UCAUGCCAAUGGCACUGCCCGGUAGCUAAAUGCGGAAGAGAUAAGUGCUGAAAGCAUCUAAGCACGAAACUUGCCCCGAGAUGAGUUCUCCCUGAGACUUUAGGUCUCCUGAAGGAACGUUGAAGACGACGACGUUGAUAGGCCGGGUGUGUAAGCGCAGCGAUGCGUUGAGCUAACCGGUACUAAUGAACCGUGAGGCUUAACCUUACAACGCCGAAG
rnacentral:rRNA from 1 species